UACGUAGGGGGCAAGCGUUAUCCGGAUUUAUUGGGUUUAAAGGGAGCGUAGAUGGAUGUUUAAGUCAGUUGUGAAAGUUUGCGGCUCAACCGUAAAAUUGCAAUUGAUACUGGCGUCCUUGAGUACAGUUGAGGUGGGCGGAAUUCGUGGUGUAGCGGUGAAAUGCUUAGAUAUCACGAAGAACUCCUAUUGCGAAGGCAGCUCACUAAACUGCAACUGACAUUGAGGCUCGAAAGUGUGGGUAUCAAACAGG
rnacentral:rRNA from 1 species